GGAAUUUUGGACAAUGGGGGCAACCCUGAUCCAGCCAUGCCGCGUGAGUGAAGAAGGCCUUCGGGUUGUAAAGCACUUUUGUUGGGGAAGAAAAGAUCUUGGUUAAUAACCGAGGUUCAUGACGGUACCCAAAGAAUAAGCACCGGCUAACUUCGUUCCAGCAGCCGCGGUAAUACGAAGGGUGCAAGCGUUACUCGGAAUUACUGGGCGUAAAGCGUGCGUAGGCGGUUUGUUAAGUCUGCCGUGAAAGCCCCGGGCUCAACCUGGGAAUUGCGGUGGAUACUGGCAGGCUAGAGUACGGUAGAGGGUGGUGGAAUUCCCGGUGUAGCAGUGAAAUGCGUAGAGAUCGGGAGGAACAUCUAUGGCGAAGGCAGCCACCUGGACCAGUACUGACGCUGAGGCACGAAAGCGUGGGGAGCAAAC
rnacentral:rRNA from 1 species